AUUGAACGUUGGCGGCAGGCCUAAAACAUGCAAGUCGAACGGUAACAGCGAGAGCUUGCUCUCGGCUGACAAGUGGCGAACGGGUGAGUAACACGUAGGAAUCUACCCAGUAGUGGGGGACAACCCGGGGAAACCCGGGCUAAUACCGCAUACGCCCUCUUAUUGAAAGAUAGGGGAGAAAGCGGGGGAUCUUCGGACCUCGCGCUAUUGGAGGAGCCUGCGUCGGAUUAGCUAGUUGGUAGGGAAAAGCCUACCAAGGCGACGAUCCGUAGCUGGUCUGAGAGGACGAUCAGCCACACUGGGACUGAGACACGGUCCAGACUCCUACGGGAGGCAGCAGUUAGGAAUCUUGGGCAAUGGGCGCAAGCCUGACCCAGCCAUGCCGCGUGUGUGAAGAA
rnacentral:rRNA from 1 species